CCUACGGGAGGCAGCAGUGAGGAAUAUUGGUCAAUGGGCGCGAGCCUGAACCAGCCAAGUAGCGUGAAGGAUGACUGCCCUACGGGUUGUAAACUUCUUUUAUAAAGGAAUAAAGUGAGGCCCGUGUGCCUUUUUGUAGGGACUUUAUGAAUAAGGAUCGGCUAACUCCGUGCCAGCAGCUGCGGUAAUACGGAGGAUCCGAGCGUUAUCCGGAUUUAUUGGGUUUAAGGGGAGCGUAGAUGGGUUGUUAAGUAAGUUGUGAAAGUUUGCGGCUCAACCGUAAAAUUGCAAUUGAUACUGGCAGCCUUGAGUACAGUUGAGGUAGGCGGAAUUCGUGGUGUAGCGGUGAAAUGCUUAGAUAUCACGAAGAACUCCGAUUGCGAAGGCAGCUUACUAAACUGCCACUGACAUUGAUGCUCGAAAGUGUGGGUAUCAAACAGGAUUAGAUACCCCGGUAGUC
rnacentral:rRNA from 1 species